CACCUCAUUGAUCGGAAGAAAUUCCUUCCGGUUGAUGGGGUUGUUACACCUCAUCGACCUGAAGGAAAUCCUUCUGGUUGAUGAGGUAUAACCGGAAGGAAUUCCUUCCAAUCGAUGGGGUUGUUAUACCUCAUUGGCCAGAAGGAAUCCCUUCUGGUUGAUGAGGUA
rnacentral:miRNA from 2 species